UACGUAGGGGGGCAAGCGUUGUCCGGAUUUAUUGGGCGUAAAGAGCGUGUAGGCGGCCAUACAGGUCCGUUGUGAAAACUGGAGGCUUAACCUCCAGACGUCGAUGGAAACCGUAUGGCUAGAGUCCGGAAGAGGAGAGUGGAAUUCCUGGUGUAGCGGUGAAAUGCGCAGAUAUCAGGAAGAACACCCGUGGCGAAGGCGGCUCUCUGGGACGGUACUGACGCUGAGACGCGAAAGCGUGGGGAGCAAACAGG
rnacentral:rRNA from 1 species